AGGGAUAACUGGCUUGUGGCA
rnacentral:ncRNA from 3 species